CCCCGCCCGACGAGCGCAGCUCCUCCUCUUCCUCCUCGUCUGUGCUGGAAGACAGCGGGGUCAGAGCUGCUGAGGCGGGGGAGGCCGAGCGGAGCAGCACCAACACGUCCUCUUCCUCCUUCAACUCCAAGGUCUCGGACUUGACGAACAUCCUGGAGGAGAGAGCGGUGAAGGAGAAAGAACCGAACGAAGUGUAAAUACAGAAGCAGAGGCAAGUUCUUGGUGUCACCGGGACGUCCUGUUGCGCGCUUCGGAGAAGACCGGCUCCGAACAGCGCCAAGGAGUAACGGUUCAUUUUGGUCAUCUCCUACACUGGCAAAUUCAGAGCAGUUCCGACCUGAACCACCCCAAGGACAGAAUGAUGAUCUCCUUUUCAGCGCCCUGAAAAGCAUCUACUGUGGACACCUGCACAGCUUUCACAUUAUCAGGAUGGUCAAAGUCCAGUGUAGUGAGUAAGUGACAAAGCUGCGGAGGAAAGAGGACAAGG